GAUGAAGAACGUAGCGAAAUGCGAUAAGUAAUGUGAAUUGCAGAAUUCAGUGAAUCAUCGAAUCUUUGAACGCACAUUGCGCCCGCCAGCAUUCUGGCGGGCAUGCAUGUUCGAGCGUCAUUUCAACCCUCAAGCUCUGCUUGGUGUUGGGGCCCUACGGUUGACGUAGGCCCUUAAAGGUAGUGGCGGACCCUCUCGGAGCCUCCUUUGCGUAGUAACUAACGUCUCGCAUUGGGAUUCGGAGGGACUCUUGCCGUAAAACCCCCAAAUUUUCUAAUGGUUGACCUCGGAUCAGGUAGGAAUACCCGCUGAACUUAAGCAUAUCAAUAAGCGGAGGA
rnacentral:misc_RNA from 1 species